CGUAAAAUCAGAUGUCUUCAGCUUCAGAGUAGUUUUGCUUGAGAUUGUAACAGGAAGAAGAAACUUUUUAGGCUUUCAUCCCACAGAAUAUGCACCUACUCUUAUAGGCUAUGUAAGGCUUGGCACUUAUGGAACGAAACGAAGGGGUUGGAGUUGAUGGAUCCGUUGUUGAAAGACUCAUGCAGUCCAAAUGAAUUUUUGAGAUACAUCCAUAUUGGAUUAUUGUGUGUU